GAGCGCAGUCUGAUAGGGCCGCCAACGCCGCUCCUCUGCUGGGUGUCCUGGAGGGUGGGGUCCUUGACUCCAUCUUCAUCUGAAGAAUGCCAGACUGGACUUACAGUUGGUGAGAACUGUAAUCCCCCCCCCUUCGCCCCUCGACCACAAGGGGCAGCAGUCAGACCACUGUGGCCACACUCAAACCACACAAAGGUGAAUGUGGCCUCUGACCUGUGUCUCCAGCUCCAGCAUCCUCUGCCGUGUCUCUCGCAGCUCUGCUUGAGCUUCGGCCUCACGCAG